ACGUCGCUGCCGUGAUCGUGG
rnacentral:siRNA from 1 species